AUACGGAGGAUCCGAGCGUUAUCCGGAUUUAUUGGGUUUAAAGGGUGCGCAGGCGGCCAUUUAAGUCAGCGGUUAAAUCGUGGGGCUCAACCCCAUUCUGCCGUUGAUACUGGGUGGCUUGAUUGCGGUCGAGGUUGGCGGAAUUCGUUGUGUAGCGGGGAAAUGCAUAGAUAUGACGAAGAACACCGAUUGCGUAGGCAGCUGACCAGACCGCAAAUGACGCUCAUGCACGAAAGUGCGGGGAUCGAACAGGAUUAGAUACCCUGGUAGUCCACACAGUAAACGAUGAAUACUCGCUGUUUGCGAUAUACAGUAAGCGGCCAAGCGAAAGCAUUAAGUAUUCCACCUGGGGAGUACGCCGGCAACGGUGAAACUCAAAGGAAUUGACGGGG
rnacentral:rRNA from 1 species